rnacentral:rRNA from 1 species
UACGAAGGGGGCAAGCGUUGUCCGGACUUACUGGGCGUAAAGCGUCCGCAGGUGGUCGUGCAAGUGCCGUGUGAAAGCGCUCGGCUUAACUGAGCGAGGCCAUGGCAGACUGCUCGACUCGAGACCGGGAGAGGUCGGUGGAAUUGCCGGUGUAGUGGUGAAAUGCGUAGAGAUCGGCAGGAACACCCAAGGGGAAGCCAGCUGACUGGCCCGGUACUGACACUCAGGGACGACAGCGUGGGGAGCGAACCGG